UGGUGAUGAAGCCUAAACUGAAAUAGCUGGAAUUACCGUCAGAUGGUUCAGUGGCGAUGAUUAGUUUUCUGAGC